AAAUUGAAGAGUUUGAUCAUGGCUCAGAUUGAACGCUGGCGGCAGGCCUAACACAUGCAAGUCGAACGGUAACAGGAAGAAGCUUGCUUCUUUGCUGACGAGUGGCGGACGGGUGAGUAAUGUCUGGGAAACUGCCUGAUGGAGGGGGGAUAACUACUGGAAACGGUAGCUAAUACCGCAUAACGUCGCAAGACCAAAGAGGGGGACCUUCGGGCCUCUUGCCAUCGGAUGUGCCCAGAUGGGAUUAGCUUGUUGGUGGGGUAACGGCUCACCAAGGCGACGAUCCCUAGCUGGUCUGAGAGGAUGACCAGCCACACUGGAACUGAGACACGGUCCAGACUCCUACGGGAGGCAGCAGUGGGGAAUAUUGCACAAUGGGCG
rnacentral:rRNA from 1 species